rnacentral:lncRNA from 1 species
AUCAAAAACCGACCUUAAUAGGUUUUAGGACUGAUCAGGACGGGGCAUUAGUCUUAAAUAAGGACGGACACAAUACAAGUAUUUGAUGCAAUUAAAGUUUAAUUCCUUUGGAUACAUAUGUUCCACUACUACUUGGAGUUUCUACGCAUUUGACUCUCGUUCCUUUCUUUUGGUUUUGAUUCAAAGAACUUUCACGAAAUAAUGCUUUACAGCCACCACCUGUAAUCUAAUAAGUUAGUUUCUCCUGAUUGGAAGAAAACAAAAAGGGCGCUCAAUUUUUAUGAGGUGCAUACAAUACUCCACAUGACAUAAUAUAUACCUAUGAACAUGAACAGAAAAACUCUACAUUUUCAGUGCAGUUUCGAGUUUCUAGGAAGACGUAAUAGAUAUACACCAUGAAAGUACUCUUGAUCUUAUCCUUGAUUUGUUUACUGAUUUCUCUACUGGAAGUUCAGGGGUUUCCACAAGGAGGACAAGUUGAUGGAGGGUUUUGUACCAAGGACAGUGAUUGUUUGGAGGAUCAGUACUGUUUUGACUUUUACAAAAGCAGACGAGGCAAUUCUAAACUUAGAUGCAAGAAUAAGAAAGGGAAAAAAGAGCAGUGUCUUGGAAAUAAGGAAUGCCAUUCUAAUAAUUGUAAACGUGUUAAUUUAAAAAAGAGGUGCAUUAUACCAUGAGUAUAUUAUUUUAAUCGACUGUUUUAUUAAAUACAAAUCAUAUUAUAUUAUAUUAAUUUAGGAUUUAUUAACAGAUUGAAUACAACUUUUUAUGUUUUAAUUUCAA